CCUAACACAUGCAAGUCGAGCGGAAACGACAACAUUGAAUCUUNGGAGGAUUUGUUGGGCGUCGAGCGGCGGACGGGUGAGUAAUGCCUAGGAAAUUGCCUUGAUGUGGGGGAUAACCAUUGGAAACGAUGGCUAAUACCGCAUAAUGCCUACGGGCCAAAGAGGGGGAUCUUCGGACCUCUCGCGUCAAGAUAUGCCUAGGUGGGAUUAGCUAGUUGGUGAGGUAAUGGCUCACCAAGGCGACGAUCCCUAGCUGGUCUGAGAGGAUGAUCAGCCACACUGGAACUGAGACACGGUCCAGACUCCUACGGGAGGCAGCAGUGGGGAAUAUUGCACAAUGGGCGAAAGCCUGAUGCAGCCAUGCCGCGUGUAUGAAGAAGGCCUUCGGGUUGUAAAGUACUUUCAGUUGUGAGGAAAGGUGUGUAGUUAAUAGCUGCGCAUCUUGACGUUAGCAACAGAAGAAGCACCGGCUAACUCCGUGCCAGCAGCCGCGGUAAUAC
rnacentral:rRNA from 1 species